rnacentral:rRNA from 1 species
CGCGGGAUUGGGGACGGGGCGCAGCAGGCGCGAAAACUUUGCAAUACACGAAAGUGUGACAGGGCUAUCCCGAGUGCCAUCCGCUGAGGAAGGCUUUUACCCAGUUUAGAAAGCUGGGAGAAUAAGGAGAGGGCAAGCCUGGUGUCAGCCGCCGCGGUAAUACCAGCUCUCCGAGUGGUGUGGAUGUUUAUUGGGCCUAAAGCAUCCGUAGCUGGCCAAGUUAGUCCCCUGUUAAAUCCACCGAAUUAAUCGUUGGAGUGCGGGGGAUACUGCUUGGCUAGGGGACGAGAGAGGCCGACGGUAUUUUCGGGGUAGGGGUGAAAUCCUAUAAUCCCGGGAAGACCACCAGUGGCGAAGGCUGUCGGCUAGAACGCGCCCGACGGUGAGGGAUGAAAGCUGGGGGAGCGAACCGGAUUAGAUACCCGGGUAGUCCCAGCUGUAAACGAUGCAGGCUAGGUGUUUGGGCGGCCACGGGCCGCUCUAGUGCCGCAGGGAAGCUGUUAAGCCUGCCGCCUGGGGAGUACGGCCGCAAGGCUGAAACUUAAAGGAAUUGGCGGGGGAGCACCCACAAGGGGUGAAGCUUGCGGUUUAAUUGGAGUCAACGCCGGAAAUCUCACCGGGAGCGACAGCAGGUUGAAGGCCAGAUUAAAGGUCUUGCUAGACGAGCUGAGAGGAGGUGCAUGGCCGUCGCCAGUUCGUGCCGUGAGGUGUCCUGUUAAGUCAGGCAACGAUCGAGACCCGCGUCCUCUGUUGCUACCAGUCUUGAGCUGGGCACACUGAGGAGACCGCCACUGAUAAAGCGGAGGAAGGAGCGGGCCACGGCAGGUCAGUAUGCCCCGAAUCUCCCGGGCCACACGCGAGCUGCAAUGGCAGGUACAAUGAGUUCCGACCUCGAAAGGGAGAGGCAAUCUCGAAAGCCUGCCGUAGUUGGGAUCGAGGGUUGAAACCCACCUUCGUGAACAUGGAAUCCCUAGUAAUCGCGUGUCACUAGCGCGCGGUGAAUACGUCCCUGCUCCUUGCACGAAUUCGCCGAAUCACUAGU